rnacentral:rRNA from 1 species
ACUCAAAGGAAUUGACGGGGACCCGCACAAGCAGCGGAGCGUGUGGUUUAAUUCGAUGCGACGCGAAGAACCUUACCUGGGUUUGACAUGCUUCUGGUAGCGAAGGGAAACCUAAGCGACUCGCAAGAGAGGAAGCACAGGUGCUGCAUGGCUGUCGUCAGCUCGUGUCGUGAGAUGUUGGGUUAAGUCCCGCAACGAGCGCAACCCUCGGUGCAUGUUUUACGUGUCAUGCACAACUGCCCGCCAGAAGCGGGAGGAAGGUGGGGAUGACGUCAAGUCAGCAUGGCCUUUAUAUCCAGGGCGACACACACGCUACAAUGGCGCGUACAAUGGGCAGCGAGUGGGCGACCACAAGCGAAUCCCUCAAAGCGCGUCUUAGUUCGGAUUGGAGUCUGCAACUCGACUCCAUGAAGGCGGAGUUGCUAGUAACCGCGCGUCAGCCAUAGUGCGGUGAAUGCGUUCCCGGGUCUUGCACACACCGCCCGU